ACGUGUUUGCCGUAGCUAUUAUAUCGUUUACUGCGUUUGGGUCUGAUUUUAUGUUAUUUUUCUGGCAAAAGUCAACAGCACCGGAAGAUUUCGUGACUCGUUUGAUACUUUCUAUGUUUUGGACAAUAACAUCAAGUACAAAAUCUCUGUAAAGUACUGGACAUAGUUUUCCUGAUAUUGACCUUAACUUUCGUAACACACAGCUGUUGUCUGUUUGUGCGGGCGCGAGCCAAGCGAACAGAGUUUCACUUUGCGUUGGUAAUUAUUAUUCAUUGGACCGUUUAGCCUACAUGUACUCAAUGCAAAUGAAUGUUCAUCCAGGAUUGUAUUACUGUAGAGGAAUGGACAGGGAUCAAAUGGAGUUCGGUGCAAAAUAGACGAAUACAAUCACAAGAUUAUCGAAGGCAACGAUCUCACGACUAGUCUUACAAUACAUUGUUUAUGUAGUUAACGCACAAAAUCAAUAUGUCAUUAGUGAUCUCCACAGAUCUAUUUGUUGUUAGAUACACGACUGACCAAGGACUGACAAUGGUUUAAACAAAUACAAGAGAAUGUGUUGAAGUGGACUAGAUCGAACACGCAAUCAACGAUAUUCGUAUGAAACAGCUCCUUGUCAAUGUGUUUGCUAGGAUAAACCUCUCCAUUGAUCUCUAAAGAUCUAUUGCUGUUAUUAUAAAUUCUUUCGUUACUUCGAAUAUUGUAAACCUCGAACUUUAAAAACAUUUAUUAUGUUACAAUACCAUUAAGUGAAAUUAAAAAUUUAUUUAUUCCACCUAGCAAAAGACAGCGAAAGUGACGAAUAAAUUAAAUAUAAGAUUUGAUCUUGCAUGUGAAACCAUAUCGAGCACUUAGACGGGAUAAAGGUAAUAUUAAUUAAUGAUGUUAUAGUAAACUUGUAAAUAUACUGUAAGUUAAAUCGAUUACCGAUCAUCGAAUUAUGAGAAAAACACAAUUAUCAUGGCACGUCAUCGCCGUUAUUCGCAUCAUCAUCAAAUUUCAGUUAGUUAGAAGGGCUAAACAUUAAAAAAUUUACGAAAACACUGAUUUACAGUUAGUAUUGUGGAUAUAAAGACAAGUAAAAAUUGGAUUUUGGAGAUGUAAAACCAAUGAUAAUGAUUUUUCUCUUCUAUACUAACAACAACCAUUUAUGUAUGUGUUAUGAAUUUUUAAUUGAGUUGUAAAUUAUACAUCUGAUGAAUGUUUUGUAAGAAUAAAUUAACUAUCAGUGACUUUAACGCCCAUGUCGCUUGUGUAGACAAUACGCUUUACUCGUUUCCUAUUUUGUAUUAUCAGCUUUAUGUGUCUUUAAUAAGAAAAAGUAAUUAAUUAGUGAUUAAUUAUAUUUCUCGUAAGAAGUAUAACGGCUUCAUGUUUUGGUUGGUCACGCGAUUCUAUGUCCUAUUUAUAUAUUUAUAUAUUGAGUACUGUUAUUUUUUCUUAACAAUUCAUA